rnacentral:rRNA from 1 species
UUUACGGAGAGUUUGAUCCUGGCUCAGGACGAACGCUGGCGGCGUGCUUAACACAUGCAAGUCGAACGAUGAUGCCCAGCUUGCUGGGUGGAUUAGUGGCGAACGGGUGAGUAACACGUGAGUAACCUGCCCCUGACUCUGGGAUAAGCGUUGGAAACGACGUCUAAUACUGGAUAUGAUCACUGGCCGCAUGGUCUGGUGGUGGAAAGAUUUUUUGGUUGGGGAUGGACUCGCGGCCUAUCAGCUUGUUGGUGAGGUAAUGGCUCACCAAGGCGACGACGGGUAGCCGGCCUGAGAGGGUGACCGGCCACACUGGGACUGAGACACGGCCCAGACUCCUACGGGAGGCAGCAGUGGGGAAUAUUGCACAAUGGGCGAAAGCCUGAUGCAGCAACGCCGCGUGAGGGAUGACGGCCUUCGGGUUGUAAACCUCUUUUAGUAGGGAAGAAGCGAAAGUGACGGUACCUGCAGAAAAAGCACCGGCUAACUACGUGCCAGCAGCCGCGGUAAUACGUAGGGUGCAAGCGUUGUCCGGAAUUAUUGGGCGUAAAGAGCUCGUAGGCGGUUUGUCGCGUCUGCUGUGAAAUCCCGAGGCUCAACCUCGGGCUUGCAGUGGGUACGGGCAGACUAGAGUGCGGUAGGGGAGAUUGGAAUUCCUGGUGUAGCGGUGGAAUGCGCAGAUAUCAGGAGGAACACCGAUGGCGAAGGCAGAUCUCUGGGCCGUAACUGACGCUGAGGAGCGAAAGCAUGGGGAGCGAACAGGAUUAGAUACCCUGGUAGUCCAUGCCGUAAACGUUGGGCGCUAGAUGUAGGGACCUUUCCACGGUUUCUGUGUCGUAGCUAACGCAUUAAGCGCCCCGCCUGGGGAGUACGGCCGCAAGGCUAAAACUCAAAGGAAUUGACGGGGGCCCGCACAAGCGGCGGAGCAUGCGGAUUAAUUCGAUGCAACGCGAAGAACCUUACCAAGGCUUGACAUACACCGGAAACGGCCAGAGAUGGUCGCCCCCUUGUGGUCGGUGUACAGGUGGUGCAUGGUUGUCGUCAGCUCGUGUCGUGAGAUGUUGGGUUAAGUCCCGCAACGAGCGCAACCCUCGUUCUAUGUUGCCAGCGGGUUAUGCCGGGGACUCAUAGGAGACUGCCGGGGUCAACUCGGAGGAAGGUGGGGAUGACGUCAAAUCAUCAUGCCCCUUAUGUCUUGGGCUUCACGCAUGCUACAAUGGCCGGUACAAAGGGCUGCGAUACCGUAAGGUGGAGCGAAUCCCAAAAGCCGGUCUCAGUUCGGAUUGAGGUCUGCAACUCGACCUCAUGAAGUCGGAGUCGCUAGUAAUCGCAGAUCAGCAACGCUGCGGUGAAUACGUUCCCGGGCCUUGUACACACCGCCCGUCAAGUCAUGAAAGUCGGUAACACCCGAAGCCGGUGGCCUAACCCUUGUGGAAGGAGCCGUCGAAGGUGGGAUCGGUGAUUAGGACUAAGUCGUAACAAGGUAGCCGUACCGGAAGGUGCGGCUGGAUCACCUCCUUU